AGAGUCUGUUAAGUGAUCGCGGCUGCAAGUGUCGAAAGACCGCAGGUGAGGAAAGUCCGGGCUUCACAGGGCAGGAUGCCGGAUAACGUCCGGUGGGGGUGACCCCAAGGAAAGUGCAACAGAAAUAAACCGCUGCUUAGGCAGUAAGGGUGGAAAGGCAGUGUAAGAGACUACCGCCCGUCUGGUAACAGGCGGGGCAUAUGUAAACCCCAUUCGAAGCAAGACCGAAACGGAGCAUUGACGUGGCCCGCCAGCUCCAGGUUGGUCGCUUGAAAUGGCUGGCGACAGUCAUUCUAGAUAGAUGAUCACUCUAGACAUAACCCGGCUCAUGACAGGCUCUUUUG
rnacentral:RNase_P_RNA from 1 species